GCUGGACGUUCUCCAGUGUAUCCAUGCUGCCAUCUGUUGCCGGGGGCCCUGACCCUGCAUCCUUCUCCACCUUCUUUUCCUCUACCACUGGAACGGAGGCAGACUCCCCAGUGGUCCCUUUCUUCGGUUUCCCAACAGCGACGGCCGGAGACCCCCUCCCCACUGCGCUACAGGUAACUGGGGCCUUCUUCCCAGCGGGGCAGCGCCGAUUUCCAACGCGGGGGACAUUUUUCGGCCUUCCCACGGUCCCCGCGGUUCCCACGAAGACAGUGUCUGUCGCCAGGCGCUCCGAGAGUGUUGUGGCCUUCCCCGGGCCGGGCCUGGUUGCGGCCUGCCCGAGAUCCCCCGCAGCCCGGGCCCGGAGCGCGAGGCCACAGUCCAGGGGGAGCCGGCAGGCACCCUCUUCCCCGGGCCGGCGGGGCGGCGCAGGCGCAGCGGUUUCCAGGCCACCCCAACCCGCGCCAGCCUGCACCUGUGCCGCCUUGGUCUCCUCCCCGAGCCUCUGGCACUGUGGAGGGUCCGGGUCGCGUGGGGCGUCGCCAGGAGUAGCGCGGACUCGGCCUUUGGCGCGGCCUUUGCCACGGCUUUUGGCGCGGGAGGACUUUCUACCCCUACCUCGGCCGCUCAUGAUGGUAACGGACUCAACUUCAAAGGCACGCUCCGGCCCUGCGGCCCCUGGCGCCAGGUCGCUGUCCCUACCGAGAGGGCCUCUCCUUGGCAACCGCCGACGUCACGACUGCGCGACUGCACCGUAGCGCGAGGACUGGAUGCGCCCGCUGAUUGGCUCCACUGCCGCAGCUGCGCACCAGCCGACCCUCACAGACGCCCCCACCCCCACCUCACCCCAACUCGCUUUCACUGUUAGAGAGGGCUGUGCUUUCGUUUAGUUUCUAACCGUUGGCCUCAGUUGUGCCCUCGGGGUCCUCUUAUAUAAGACACCCUCAAGACAGCCAUCAUGUCAGUUCCCCUAUCAUAUACUUUCUAAACUAAAUAUCUAAAGUUCCUUCAAUUAGCUUCUGUGACAUCUAUCAUGAUGAAACUGCUCCUGGUCUCUAUGUCUCAUCUUUGAAAGCCUUUGCUGAGGGAUUUGCCCGGGUACCUUAACUCCAGGGACUUUCAAGGUCUGAUUUCCUCCAAUCAUAGAAAUUAACAGGCUGGGAAAAGACAUUCCAGUCAUCCAACCUACGGCGCAGCCAAGAGAACAACAUUCCCCACCGUCUCCCUGCCGAAGGGCUUUAAGGUUCCAGAUGACAUUUUUUAGCCACAAAGGUUUUCUCUUCCCCCAAGGAGAUAGUUUGAGUCUGUUAGAUCAAACAUUUUUAAGUGAAAUCAUGAAGGAAUGUCUGGAAAUUAUUUGAAUUCCUCCAAAGAAGAGCAGUUUUUGUGGUUGUCACUCGAGAAAAGCCUAUGAACGUAAAGAGAGGUAAUAUGAUCAAGCUGGACUCCACCUUACGUGGUUAGGGCAAGUGAGGAAUUGAUGGCAACUGGGAGCCAGCUUUACUCAAGACGUUAAGACUCUGUGCUACCUCUGAUUUCUUAACAUGUGUAACUUAGACUCCAAAACUGUUUUCGUCUCGCUACAAUAUGAAGGCUUUGCAAGAUCAGCUCAGAGACACAUCCAUACUGCUCUCUGCACCCAGCAGCCACGUCUGGACAGCUCUACUGAACAACUAAUGCAGUUCUGACACAAGUGGUAGAUUUGAGUAACUAAUGCUGCCUCUCUGUUGUUUUUUUCCUCCCCUUCUUAAUCAAUACCCGUAUAAUUGAUCAGGUAGGCCAUAUGGCCCCUGUGAUUCCCACAUUAAGACAAUUAGGACAGCAGCCAGGUCAUUGCUCAAGCUGGCAUUCUUCAUAACUAAGACAAGAAAACCUAACUCUUUGUCUUCCUCAGAAAAAGCCAACUCCACCCGCUCGUGGGUAUGAUUCAGUACGAAUUCAUGUAAUAUCUAGCUAAAAAGGAGUACAGCCACACUUAGAAAAAAUAUCGCCUAAAAGUGAAUUGUAUGCCAGUAAGUUUCCCCCUGCAGAAUCCAGACUGAAAUGUGAUAGUAAAAAUCUAAUGUGAUAGUGAAACUCUAACUAACUCAAGAAGAGUGAGUAUACAGUGUAGACGAAGAUCUUACACACAUUCUGAGAGAGAGCUGCUGGUCACUGGAGAGUACGUAGACUCUCCUACUCUAGGACCGAGGGUCAGAGAGGAGGAGUUCGGAGACUGGGGGAUUCUUACAGCUGUGAGCUCUAAAAUGAUGGAGCGGAGGGAAGACUUAGAAAUGCAAGGCCAAGUGUAAGGAAAGAUAAAAGAUCUAUUUUCUGGCAUCAGGAUUUAUGGAGGGAACCGCUCCCACACUGCAACCCUCUUUUUUUUUUUUUUUUUUUUAAAUUUGCGUCAUUUUUUAAAAUUUAUUUAUUUAUUUAUUUAUUUUUGGCUGUGUUGGGUCUUUGUUUCUGUGCGAGGGCUUUCUCUAGCUGUGGCAAGCGGGGGCCACUCUUCAUCACGGUGCGCAGGCCUCUCACUAUCGCGGCCUCUCUUGUUGCGGAGCACAGGCUCCAGACGCGCAGGCUCAGUAGUUGUGGCUCACGGGUCCAGUUGCUCCGCGGCAUGUGGGAUCCUCCCAGACCGGGGCACGAACCCGUGUCCCCUGCAUUGGCAAGCAGACUCUCAACCACUGCGCCACCAGGGAAGCCCUGCAACCCUCUUUUAAUAAGAGAAAGUAACAAGCUAAACAGCAUGUCAUAGCUGAGAUUUCUGGAAAGUCAGCCAUUCUCAGCAUCAUGGAAUCUGUGAAUCGGGAGCCAAUGGGAAGCAAAACAAGUAGCAGUUUGAACAUAGAAUUAUUAUUUUAUUUAGAACAGAAAGAGAAAAUUUACUAAAUAUAUUUACUAAACAUAGGCUAAACAUAUGACCUAUUGGCCAGGAGAUUUAUGCUUCCCUACGUGAUAUGUUCUCCUAACUCCAACCCCCAACCCCCAAGCAGGAGCAGUGGAGGAAGCAAGAACCACCGCAGCAGGGUUAGUCCUGGAAACGACAUUGUGCACCAGCAGACUUCUUGCAGAAGGUUUGCAAGCAUAAGAGAGACCCCUGAAGUACCUGGGCAGCCCACCCACUACUGAAACAAGACACAAGUGCCUCUGGGAAGGAGAUGACAAAUAUUCCUCUUGUCCUCUUGUCUUCCAUCACUCAAACCAAUUAAAAAGUAGAAUAAAAGUACCUAAAAAGAGGCAAACAACAGCAAUCAAUUCUCCCAGUUUAUAAUCAAACAGGAUUUCAGCAACCAAUGUUGUUAAAAAAAAUUUUCUACCAUAUGCCUCAUGUGUUACUCUAGUAAAUGAAUUCUUUCAUCAUCAAGAGAGUUUAUAUGACAUUCUCUUGAUGAUGAAAGAAUUUAUUUCCUAGAACAAAACUCUGGAAAAAGUCAUGUUAAGAAUCAUGCUGGCAAGAUUCUUUUUGACCCAGCUCCUAGAGAAAUGGAAAUAAAAACAAAAAUAAACAAAUGGGACCUAAUGAAGCUUAAAAGCUUUUGCACAGCAAAGGAAACCAUAAACAAGACCAAAAGACAACCCUCAGAAUGGGAGAAAAUAUUUGCAAAUGAAGCAACUGACAAAGGAUUAAUCUCCAAGAUUUACAAGCAGCUCAUGCAGCUCAAUAACAAAAAAACAAACAACCCAAUCCAAAAAUGGGCAGAAGACCUAAAUAGACAUUUCUCCAAAGAAGAUAUACAGAUUGCCAACAAACACAUGAAAGAAUGCUCAACAUCAUUAAGCAUUAGAGAAAUGCAAAUCAAAAUUACAAUGAGAUAUCAUCUCACACCGGUCAGAAUGGCCAUCAUCAAAAAAUCUAGAAACAAUAAAUGCUGGAGAGGGUGUGGAGAAAAGGGAACACUCUUGCACUGCUGGUGGGAAUGUAAAUUGAUACAGCCACUAUGGAGAACAGUAUGGAGGUUCCUUAAAAAACUAAAAGUAGAAUUACCAUAUGACCCAGCAAUCCCACUACUGGGCAUAUACCCUGAGAAAACCAUAAUUCAAAAAGAGUCAUGUACCAAAAUGUUCAUUGCAACUCUACUUACAAUAGGCAGGACAUGGAAGCAACCUAAGUGUCCAUCAUCGCAUGAAUGGAUAAAGAAGAUGUGGCACAUGUAUACAAUGGAAUAUUACUCAGCCAUAAAAAGAAACGAAAUGGAGGUAUUUGUAGUGAGGUGGAUGGAGUUAGAGUCUGUCAUACAGAGUGAAGUAAGCCAGAAAGAGAAAAACAAAUACAGUAUGCUAACACAUAUAUACGGAAUCUAAGAAAAAAAAAAAAAAGUCAUGAAGAACCUAGUGGCAAGCCGGGAGUAAAGACACAGACCUACUAGAGAAUGGACUUGGGGAUAUGGGGAGGGGGAAGGGUAAUAUGUGACAGAGUGAGAGAGUGGCAUGGACAUAUAUACACUACCAAAUGUAAAAUAGCUAGUGGGAAGCAGUCGCAUAGCACAGGGAGAUCAGCUCGGUGCUUUGUGACCAC